CACUCCUGCGGGAGGCAGCAGUGGGGAAUUUUGGACAAUGGGCGAAAGCCUGAUCCAGCCAUGCCGCGUGCAGGAUGAAGGCCUUCGGGUUGUAAACUGCUUUUGUACGGAACGAAACGGCCUUUUCUAAUAAAGAGGGCUAAUGACGGUACCGUAAGCAUAAGCACCGGCUAACUACGUGCCAGCAGCCGCGGUAAUACGUAGGGUGCAAGCGUUAAUCGGAAUUACUGGGCGUAAAGCGUGCGCAGGCGGUUAUGUAAGACAGUUGUGAAAUCCCCGGGCUCAACCUGGGAACUGCAUCUGUGACUGCAUAGCUAGAGUACGGUAGAGGGGGAUGGAAUUCCGCGUGUAGCAGUGAAAUGCGUAGAUAUGCGGAGGAACACCGAUGGCGAAGGCAAUCCCCUGGACCUGUACUGACGCUCAUGCACGAAAGCGUGGGGAGCAAACAGGAUUAGAAACCCUGGUAGUCCC
rnacentral:rRNA from 1 species